AGCAGAAAACAUAGCCGCUUAUAACCGAUUUGAAACCACCGCCGUUGCUGAUAGUGUUUGUCACCGCAAGUUUUUGUUUGCUGGUCGGUUUGUUUGCAGUUUAUUUUUCGAUUUUUAUAUUGUUAUUAUUAAUAAGAAAUUAAUAAAAUAUAGUGUAAAAAUGUCUCCACUUACCUCACUACGAGAUCCACAUUUCGAUUACAAAAUAAAACGCUUCUACAAUUGUGUUCUGGCCCAAACUAUAUCGAGUUCUGGCAAGUUUUUGUUUGCCGGUAAUAGAGAUGGUGACAUAUUUGUACAAAAAUUAAACAAUUUACAAGAUUCCGAAGAACCUCAUGAUCCUCUAAAGAUUUACAGUCAAGGUGAUGAAGUGGAAAUAAAUUGUUUAUGUUUCCAUCGUGAUUUUUUGAUAGUCGGCUCUAUUGGUGUAGUUUAUGGUCUCAAAUGGUUGGAGGAAAAAGGUGAGCUGGUGAAUAAAAGAUCAUGGGAAAUAAAAAUACCCAUAGAGGCAGAUGCUAUAGAGGUGCCCGAUGUCAAUUACAUGUGGUUGAGGCCGGACACGGAUUCCUUGUUUGUGGGCUGUGGUGAUAAUGUUAUUUACGAAAUUACCUUGGAAGAUGGACGCAUAGUAAGAGACUUUAAGGGUCAUGAAGAUUAUAUACAUGGUGUUUGUGGUUUUGGCGACAAUAAACUAUAUUCCGCCUCUGAAGAUGGUUCAGUGCGUUUUUGGGCCACAAAUGAAAAAGAAAGUGUUGGCCUUAUAAAACCCUAUGAAAAAGAGAAUUUAUGUCGUCCUGAAAUGGGCAAAUGGCAAGGAGCUUUAGCAGUUAACCAAGACUGGUUGGUAUGUGGUGGUGGUCCCAAAUUAUCACUAUGGCAUUUACGUACUAUGGAAUGUACCAAUGACUUUCCAUUUUCGGCAAAAGUUCAUGUAUGCGACUUUGUGGAGGAUAUGAUUUUUGUGGGUGGCGAAAGUACAAAUGCUCAAUUUUAUGCCAUGAAUGGUAAACUAAGAGCUGACAUCAAGACUGAGAAUACUGCAGUAUAUUCUGCCGUCUGGCAAUUGGAACCACAACGUUUCAUGUCUAUUGCGGGUUUUAGCAAUUGGCUAUCGCUUCUCAAUGAUUUUCGAUUUUUGGAUAGUAAAAUUGAGUUGUAUACUUCGAAAGAAAGUUCGGAAAGCAGCAAUGAUAAGAAAUAUAAUUAAAUUGCGAAAAAAUUGCAGAAAUUCCUGUAAAGGAAUAUUUAGCAAAACGAUCAUUGUAUUGUACUCAAUAAAUUGAAAAUUGUUAAAAGUUUAUAACUUUGAAAUUCAAGAAACUUUUAUUUACAAUUCAAGAUUACAAAAUUGCUGAUUAGAAUUUAAACAAUCAAGAUUAGCAAAGAUUAACUUUAUUAAUAAAAAACACACAAAUCUUUUAUUGAACAAUAUUUCCACAUUUGUCUU